GGUUAAUCCGGGUCCAUGGAUGUAGCGACGACCCGUCUCUCGUCUCACCCCUGCUUGCGCCGCCGCCGACACCCCGGCUCACAUCCUCGUCGGCUUCUCCCUCCCCUCAGGCCGCCUAGGCACGCCGCCGCCGCCGCGGCCACCACCUCAUCCGUCAUCGACCAAUUCAGCCUCGGUCCAAUUCCUCAAUGCGAGUGCCUCACUGGUCGAUGCGGGGCGAGCCGAUGUAUCCCCUCUCCCUCUGUGAUGUCGUCCGUCCCUGCGUGUGCCCUCUCCCUCCAAGAUCCCAUCUCUGUGCUGUCUGCUCCAUGGUAGGUUCGUAGCCCAAUGCUCCGUUCGUAUGUCCUCACAGGGAAUCCCCUCCUCCCUUCUUUCCCCCGAUUUGAUUUCAACAUGGUGGAAAUAAACGGUUAGUCAACAUAGACAGCGGAUCAGAAAGACUACAAAAAUAGCGUGCCGGCCAGUACGCUGUAUGUCGUGGUGGUCCACUGUGGCGUUGGUCUCAACACCGGCAUGUGGUAUUUUCUUCCUUCCUGAUGUUCAAUUCAUAAGCAUGACGUGGUGUUUCACAGCAUGUUCACUUGCUCUGAAGAAAUAGUUGCCUGCUCAUUUUUUCUUUAGAUGUUCUUCUUUGUUUUGUUACUUCUACACAUCGGUGCAUGUGCUACUAAGAGAUUAUAUGGCUGCCGCUCAUUUAGUAAGUUCACAUGGACUACCAUUAUCCAUGCAUUAAGGAUGUACGAUUGCUUAGUUUGCGUUUCUGUAUCAUUCAUGCAACGGUACUGUUUUUUGUUGUAUGCAGCAGUUUACUUUCAUGAAGACGCGAGGCGACUGUGACAAAGCCCUCGUAUCAUGAUGGUUUGAGGUGAACGGCUCAAUGAUGCCAAAGAGAUUAAUAUUGAAUUAAACUUUCCCCCAUAAUCUCUGCUAGGAAAAAAAUGUGCAGGGAACUUAGGUAUCAGUUUCCAGAUUUUUGAGCGACCAGGGAGCAAAAUUUUCACCACAGAUGACUAUGCAUGGCUUCUCUGUGCUUUGCGCUCUUCUUCAAUGAAAAAUAUUUACUUCAUUACCAGAAUUAAGAGACUUUUAAUGACCAUCGAUAUUAAUAUGUGACUGAGUUUAUUCUAGGUUAGGUCAAUGAGGUUUACAGCAAGGUACAAAGCUUCGUGAGGACUCAUCUUCUUGGGAUGCAAAAGGGUGAAGCUAAGUUGAUGUUUCUUAAUUAAUCAAAAAUAUGUCAGGAAGAUUAGAACAUGCGUUCUAUCUAUAGGUAUUAUUUGGGAGAUGAUCGGUUACUAUAAGCUCUAAAGUUUAUAUAUUUCGAUGAUGGGUCUACCAUGCGUAGUUAAAACUUGCCUAUCGACAAACCAUCAGCUGCUGCAAAUGACAGAUGGGUAUGACGGAUGGGUAUUGCAGAUCAUGCAUCACGGGUAUUUUGAUUCUAAUAUGAUGAUUCAGUAAUUCUACUAUUGGUCUAAUAAUCUUCAGCAAGGAUAUACUGACUCUCAUUUCUUUAUUAGUUUUGUAGACAUUGCUUGAUCCAAAUUACGACAAAAGAUCAAUUGCCGAGGUUGUACUAAACCACAUAUUUAUCACUGGGCAGUAGUAGUAUAGUCUCUUAAUUAUCCUUUUAAAAAUAAAUUUAAUGUCUACCUAUUAUUAGAGAAUUAGAAAGCAUAGGCUCUUUAGAAGCUUUCUUGCCAAAAAAGAAGGCCCUUCAAAAGCUAAUACAUGUAUAUGCUCACAUCACAUGCUUGUUUUUCUUCCUUGAAUUUUCAAAUGCUUAUGAAUCAUCUGCAAAAUAGUGUAGCUUGUAACUCUCUGUUGAACUAAAUACCAAUCCAAGUCGGAGUGUAAAGAAGACAAUAUAGGUUUUGAUCUGCCGAGAGGUCAUGCAAUGCUUCUCUAUUCCCAUUUCAGGCCAGAUUUACCUCCAAAACACUGCAUGGAUUCUUUCACAUAUUGUCCAUUUUAUUUCUGUAACUUCUUGCAGUUUAAUUACUUGCAAGUUUUGUUCUCUAUUAAGUAAGUUAUUUGUCUUGUGGAUUGUACGAAUGAUUUUCGCUAAUACGCUGCACACAUCUAAACCAUAGACUGUUUCAAGACACAUCAGAAAAAUAUAAAUCAAUCUAGACAUCAGAAACCAAAGAUGAGUCAUUUAUAUAUGCAUUUGAUUUCCUGAAAUAUAAGAAUAACGAUGUAUGCUUUUCUUUCUAUGUGGAAACUAUUAUGUAUCAUUUAUUAGCGGUGCACACAUUCAUGAUUUUAUUCUUAUAAAGAAAUUCACAUUUAGAACUUAGAUUCGGCAAUUAUUUGACAUGGCAUGUAGUGUGUACUACGCUACUCACAAAAAGUGUAGCAUCCAUCGAGCGGCUUUGGCAGACUUAAUCCGUACGUGGAUGUUUAACUGAUUCCUGAAGUAUAACUCUUACUUCCUGCUUAUUAUUGUUCAGGUUACUGCAAUUAGUCCAUUGAUUGAAGGCUUAGCUGUUGCUUCUUGAUCAACCCUGUUAACCUUUAGAUGUGUUUUCAAGUUGUUCAUAGUAGUCCGAUGUUGUGUAAGUUAAAGUGAGAGCUAUUACGUCAAUUUAUUUUUGACCUUUUCAUUUGAAAGUAGCCAAAGCUACAAAUGGGUAUGUAGAUGGUAUGCACAACUUCUAUGAAACAACUUUUGUCAGAC